AGUGAACGCUGGCGAUAGGCCUAACACAUGCAAGUCGUACGGCAGCACAGUAAGAGCUUGCUCUUACGGGUGGCGAGUGGCGGACGGGUGAGGAAUACAUCGGAAUCUACUUUUUCGUGGGGGAUAACGUAGGGAAACUUACGCUAAUACCGCAUACGACCUACGGGUGAAAGCAGGGGAUCUUCGGACCUUGCGCGAUUGAAUGAGCCGAUGUCGGAUUAGCUAGUUGGCGGGGUAAAGGCCCACCAAGGCGACGAUCCGUAGCUGGUCUGAGAGGAUGAUCAGCCACACUGGAACUGAGACACGGUCCAGACUCCUACGGGAGGCAGCAGUGGGGAAUAUUGGACAAUGGGCGCAAGCCUGAUCCAGCCAUACCGCGUGGGUGAAGAAGGCCUUCGGGUUGUAAAGCCCUUUUGUUGGGAAAGAAAAGCAGCAGGUUAAUACCCCGCUGUUCUGACGGUACCCAAAGAAUAAGCACCGGCUAACUUCGUG
rnacentral:rRNA from 1 species